AUGGUGGACCUGUCGAACUUUUUAGAAGCCAAUGCAGCAAUGCCGAUUCCGGCCAUGGAAGUUGCUCGGAGUCCUCACCUCCCAUACGUUCCCGGGGACGCGAACGCGACAGACAGCAAGAAUGCCACCGACGUCCUCGACCUCUGGCGGCAGCAGAAACAAAUCCCGGCUCCCUUCGUCUGGCCCAACGCCGACGCACGGCCGUCGUCGAUGUUGGAGCUGGACGUGCCUGUGGUCGACAUAGGCGCAGCUCUGCACAGCGCCGCCGGGAUGGGCCGUGCCGCGGCGCAGGUCGCCGAGGCGUGCGCGAGCCACGGCUUCUUCCAGGUGACAGGACACGGCGUGGACCCUGCGCUGGCCCGCGCCGCGCUCGACGGCGCGGCGGACUUCUUCCGACUGCCGCUCGCCACUAAGCAGGGCGCCCGCCGCUCCCCGGGGACCGUGGAAGGGUACGCCUCCGCCCACGCCGACCGCUUCGCCGCCAAGCUUCCCUGGAAGGAGACUCUCUCCUUCAGCCACAACCACGACGACGUCGGCGCCCGCGGCGACAGCCACGUCGUGGUGGACUACUUCACCUCCGCCCUAGGCGGCGACUUCAAGCACCUAGGGGAGGUGUACCAGGAGUACUGUGAGGCGAUGGAGGACGCGUCGCUGGCGAUAAUGGAGGUGCUGGGGGUGAGCCUGGGGCUAGGGAGAGGGUACUACAGGGACUUCUUCGCCGACGGCAGCUCCAUCAUGAGGUGCAACUACUACCCGCGGUGCCCGGAGCCGGACCGGACGCUGGGGACAGGGCCGCACUGCGACCCGUCGGCGCUCACCAUCCUGCUGCAGGACGGCGAGGUGGACGGGCUCCAGGUGCUCGUCGACGGCGCAUGGCGCUUCGUGCGGCCCAAGACCGGCGAGCUCGUGGUAAACAUCGGCGACACCUUCAUGGCGCUGUCCAACGGGCGGUACAAGAGCUGCCUCCACCGCGCGGUGGUGCACCGGGAGAAGGAGCGCCGUUCGCUGGCCUACUUCCUCUCCCCGCGGGAGGACCGGGUGGUGCGCCCGCCGCCGUCGCCGGCGCCGGCGCCGCGGCUCUACCCGGACUUCACCUGGGCGGAGCUCAUGCGCUUCACGCAGCGCCACUACCGCGCCGACUCUCGCACGCUCGACGCCUUCGCGCGCUGGCUUGACCCGCCGAGCUUCUCCGCCGCGCCCUUGCCGCACGGCCCGGCCCAGGCCCAAGGGACUGUCUAG
rnacentral:rRNA from 1 species